rnacentral:tRNA from 1 species
GGCGCAUAGCUCAGUUGGCCAGAGCGCCGCCGUCACAUGGCGGAGGUCACAGGUUCAAGUCCUGUUGCGCC